CAGAUUGAACGCUGGCGGCAUGCCUAACACAUGCAAGUCGAACGGGAGUAGCAAUACUCUAGUGGCGGACGGGUGAGGAAUACGUAGGAAUUUGCCCUUAAGUGGGGGAUAACCCGGGGAAACCCGGAUUAAUACCGCAUGACCUCGAAAGAGCAAAGUGGGGGAUCGCAAGACCUCACGCUUUUGGAGAAGCCUACGUCGGAUUAGCUAGUUGGUGAGGUAAUGGCUCACCAAGG
rnacentral:rRNA from 1 species